rnacentral:Y_RNA from 1 species
GGCUGGUCCAAGUGCAGUGGUGUUUAUGACUAAUUGGUCACGACCAGUUGCUCAUUUCUUCAUUUCUUCUCCACUCCCACUCCUUCACAUGUCUAGCCUCAA